CACUCACAAAUGGUUAAAAAUAAAAAUAUGCAGAAAUUCAUAUGUAAGAUAAAUACGUACAGAAAACUUGUGUUCACGUUUGUCUGUGCUGGAUGUUUUGACAUUUUAUAGUCGUUUCAGAAUAUUCAAAUACUAGAUAUGAAAGGUUCAUCUGCAUGUCUAAUAGUGGUACUUGUCAUAGCGAACUUGGAAGAGGUAAAGCCCAAAGCUAGCGAUUAUCAAAAUACUUUAGGAAACAUUUAUGAAAACGCCCGAUUCUGUUCAGACAGUGGAGAUCCUUGCACUGAGGAUGAAGACUGCUGCAACUUUCCUACUUGCACCUGUUUCACAAACUCGCAGUGUCAUUGUUUUAGAGUGUAGUUAAGAUUUUCUGAAUUUUACUUAUAGUAACGUUUCUUUUUGAGACAUUGAUUUGUCACUUGUAAAUGGGAAUAAAUUUUGAGCUCAUCUGAG